rnacentral:rRNA from 1 species
UACAGAGGGUGCAAGCGUUGCUCGGAAUCAUUGGGCGUAAAGGGCACGUAGGUGGUCUCAUUUGUCUUGUGUGAAAUCCUUGGGCUUAACCUGAGAAGUGCGCAAGAAACGGUGAGACUCGAGUUUCGGAGAGGGUCGUGGAAUUCCCGGUGUAGCGGUGAAAUGCGCAGAUAUCAGGAGGAACACCGGUGGCGAAGGCGGUUCUCUGGGCCUUACCUGACGCUGAGGAGCGAAAGCAUGGGGAGCAAACAGG